UACGGAGGGUGCGAGCGUUGUCCGGAAUCAUUGGGCGUAAAGAGCUCGUAGGCGGCUCAGUAAGUCGGGUGUGAAACCCCCGGGCUCAACCUGGGGACGCCACCCGAUACUGCUGUGGCUAGAGUCCAGUAGGGGAGUGUGGAAUUCCAGGUGUAGCGGUGAAAUGCGCAGAUAUCGGGAGGAACACCAACGGCGAAGGCAGCACUCUGGGCUGGUACUGACGCUGAGGAGCGAAAGCGUGGGUAGCAAACAGG
rnacentral:rRNA from 1 species